UAUAAAUAUUUCGAAGAGUUACAAACGGAAUGGCAAAGUUAAUGUACCCUCCAUAGAAUGGUGGAGGGUAUAAAAUAAAUUGGCAAAUAGAGCCAAAGAAGAUAUUCCCGUGAAUCCUAAAUAGAACAAAUCCUGAAUAUAUACUGAUUUUUAAGCAAAUUCAAUUAAUCAAAAUUAUAUUUAAAGAGCAGGCUGAGUUAGAGCAUGCCAAUGUAUUUAAUUCUAAACUUAGGGAGAUAAAACCUGGACUAUAGGCUUAUAAGCAAGUUUUCGCGAUAAUUGGGAAUAAAAACAAGUCAAAGGUGACGGAAAUAUCGUCUGUGUAUCAAAAUUCUCCUCCAAGUAGAAGUUCUUCAUAUGUGAAUGGCACAAUACAUCAAUCUAUUUCUAGUGCACCAGAUAUAAUGCUUGAAUUUUCUAACGAUACUAACGCGUUGAACUGUCAAAAUACCUGCAAUUUCACGUCUUUAAAUUCCAUCGAAGAAAUUGUAAAAUUAAAAAAUAACAAAAAAUUGUCGGUUAUUAAAGAAAACAAGCAAACAAACAAGCUGUGAAUUCGGGGAAGUUCGAACUUUGAAUAAUUUAUAAAAAUUCCGAUGGAAAAUACAUAUCAUAAAUGUACCGAAUAUAGGGAGUAACCUUUAAUUUGGAACCUAUGCGAAGAUGUGGACCUGUAUAUCAAAUUUUUGUCAUAAGCAAUUGCGAUAUUCUGAUAUGAAACUUAAAGCAAUUCCAGUGAAUAAUGUCGCUAUAAUCAUAUAAUAAAAUACGGAAUAUAGGGA